rnacentral:rRNA from 1 species
AUUGAGCGCUGGCGGCAGGCCUAACACAUGCAAGUCGAACGGUAACAGGGAUCAGCUUGCUGAUUCGCUGACGAGUGGCGGACGGGUGAGUCAUGUCUGGGAAACUGCCUGAUGGAGGGGGAUAACUACUGGAAACGGUAGCUAAUACCGCAUAACGUCGCAAGACCAAAGAGGGGGACCUUCGGGCCUCUUGCCAUCGGAUGUGCCCAGAUGGGAUUAGCUAGUAGGUGGGGUAACGGCUCACCUAGGCGACGAUCCCUAGCUGGUCUGAGAGGAUGACCAGCCACACUGGAACUGAGACACGGUCCAGACUCCUACGGGAGGCAGCAGUGGGGAAUAUUGCACAAUGGGCGCAAGCCUGAUGCAGCCAUGCCGCGUGUAUGAAGAAGGCCUUCGGGUUGUAAAGUACUUUCAGCGGGGAGGAAGGGAGUAAAGUUAAUACCUUUGCUCAUUGACGUUACCCGCAGAAGAAGCACCGGCUAACUCCGUG